AUUGAACGCUGGCGGCAUGCUUUACACAUGCAAGUCGAACGGUAACAGGCCGCAAGGUGCUGACGAGUGGCGAACGGGUGAGUAAUGCAUCGGAACGUGCCCAGUCGUGGGGGAUAACGCAGCGAAAGCUGCGCUAAUACCGCAUACGAUCUAUGGAUGAAAGCGGGGGACCGUAAGGCCUCGCGCGAUUGGAGCGGCCGAUGUCAGAUUAGGUAGUUGGUGGGGUAAAGGCUCACCAAGCCAACGAUCUGUAGCUGGUCUGAGAGGACGACCAGCCACAGUGUGACUGAGACACGGCCCAGACGCCUACGGGAGGCAGCAGUGGGGAAUUUUGGACAAUGGGCGCAAGCCUGAUCCAGCAAUGCCGCGUGCAGGAAGAAGGCCUUCGGGUUGUAAACUGCUUCUGUACGGAACGAAACGGUCCUGGUUAAUACCCGGGGCUAAUGACGGUACCGUAAGAAUAAGCACCGGCUAACUACGUGCCAGCCGCCGCGGUAAAAC
rnacentral:rRNA from 1 species